UUGUGCCUAAACAUGAUUCCUAGUUCUCUCCAUUAUUAUUUAUAUCAACACUAAUCUUUCCUUUCUCCAUUCCCGCCUUCCAUUUCAAGGCUUUAACUCGUAACCACCUUUCCUUGACGACUUAAUUACAUGUUUCAUUUAUGCAUUUGUAAUUAAAAGGGGUUAAAACUUGAAAACUAUUCUUCUCAGCAACAACAACAACAAGAGAUAACUUCAAUGGAUAGUUGUAUCAGAUUUUGUGUUGUAUUUCUCUUUAUAUCUUUGUUCUCACCCUUGGGAUCUGUUGCUCAACUUUUGCCUGAAGAAGAAGGUUUCUGCAAAGUACACUAUCAGAAAAUUGCUAAUUUUCCGACGGAAAUUUAAACAAAAUCCUUCGGAAUUUGGCUAGUCUGUAACAUGUCUGACGGAUUUUCCUUCGAAAAUUAGCGAUGUUUACAAUAAUUGUGUUUUUCUUCCUCGUUCUUAUCUAUAAAUAGUUAAACACUCUUUUGUCUUCUUAUAUUACUCUCUUUUCUUUCUUUUGAAUUCUGAAAAUUAGCGAUUUUCUGAUAGUGGUAGCUAUUACAUUUUAUUUCUCUUCUUUUUACGGUUUUUGCGAAUUAUACUAUCAGAAAAUUGUUAAUCUCGACAAAAAUAUUAAACGUAAUAUGUCGGAAUUUGGCUCGUCAGUAACGUUUUUGAUGGAUUUUCCAUUGAAGAUACCUUAUCAACAAGCCAAGAUUUAA